GACGAACGCUGGCGGCGUGCUUAACACAUGCAAGUCGAACGGAAAGGCCCUGCUUUUGUGGGGUGCUCGAGUGGCGAACGGGUGAGUAACACGUGAGUAACCUGCCCUUGACUUUGGGAUAACUUCAGGAAACUGGGGCUAAUACCGGAUAGGAGCUCCUGCUGCAUGGUGGGGGUUGGAAAGUUUCGGCGGUUGGGGAUGGACUCGCGGCUUAUCAGCUUGUUGGUGGGGUAGUGGCUUACCAAGGCUUUGACGGGUAGCCGGCCUGAGAGGGUGACCGGCCACAUUGGGACUGAGAUACGGCCCAGACUCCUACGGGAGGCAGCAGUGGGGAAUAUUGCACAAUGGGCGGAAGCCUGAUGCAGCAACGCCGCGUGCGGGAUGACGGCCUUCGGGUUGUAAACCGCUUUCGCCUGUGACGAAGCGUGAGUGACGGUAAUGGGUAAAGAAGCACCGGCUAACUACGUGCCAGCAGCCGCGGUGAUACGUAGGGUGCGAGCGUUGUCCGGAUUUAUUGGGCGUAAAGGGCUCGUGGGUGGUUGAUCGCGUCGGAAGUGUAAUCUUGGGGCUUAACCCUGAGCGUGCUUUCGAUACGGGUUGACUUGAGGAAGGUAGGGGAGAAUGGAAUUCCUGGUGGAGCGGUGGAAUGCGCAGAUAUCAGGAGGAACACCAGUGGCGAAGGCGGUUCUCUGGGCCUUUCCUGACGCUGAGGAGCGAAAGCGUGGGGAGCGAACAGGCUUAGGUACCCUGGUAGUCCACGCUGUAAACGGUGGGUACUAGGUGUGGGGUCCAUUCCACGGGUUCCGUGCCGUAGCUAACGCUUUAAGUACCCCGCCUGGGGAGUACGGCCGCAAGGCUAAAACUCAAAGGAAUUGACGGGGCCCCGCACAAGCGGCGGAGCAUGCGGAUUAAUUCGAUGCAACGCGUAGAACCUUACCUGGGUUUGACAUGGAUCGGGAGUGCUCAGAGAUGGGUGUGCCUCUUUUGGGGUCGGUUCACAGGUGGUGCAUGGCUGUCGUCAGCUCGUGUCGUGAGAUGUUGGGUUAAGUCCCGCAACGAGCGCAACCCUUGUUCACUGUUGCCAGCACGUUAUGGUGGGGACUCAGUGGAGACCGCCGGGGUCAACUCGGAGGAAGGUGGGGAUGACGUCAAGUCGUCAUGCCCCUUAUGUCCAGGGCUUCACGCAUGCUACAAUGGCUGGUACAGAGAGUGGCGAGCCUGUGAGGGUGAGCGAAUCUCGGAAAGCCGGUCUCAGUUCGGAUUGGGGUCUGCAACUCGACCUCAUGAAGUCGGAGUCGCUAGUAAUCGCAGAUCAGCAACGCUGCGGUGAAUACGUUCCCGGGGCU
rnacentral:rRNA from 1 species